UUGUUGGUGAGGUAAUGGCUCACCAAGGCGUCGACGGGUAGCCGGCCUGAGAGGGUGACCGGCCACACUGGGACUGAGACACGGCCCAGACUCCUACGGGAGGCAGCAGUGGGGAAUAUUGCACAAUGGGCGCAAGCCUGAUGCAGCAACGCCGCGUGAGGGAUGACGGCCUUCGGGUUGUAAACCUCUUUUAGCAGGGAAGAAGCGAAAGUGACGGUACCUGCAGAAAAAGCACCGGCUAACUACGUGCCAGCAGCCGCGGUAAUACGUAGGGUGCAAGCGUUAUCCGGAAUUAUUGGGCGUAAAGAGCUCGUAGGCGGUUUGUCGCGUCUGCUGUGAAAUCUGGGGGCUCAACCCCCAGCCUGCAGUGGGUACGGGCAGACUAGAGUGCGGUAGGGGAGAUUGGAAUUCCUGGUGUAGCGGUGGAAUGCGCAGAUAUCAGGAGGAACACCGAUGGCGAAGGCAGAUCUCUGGGCCGUAACUGACGCUGAGGAGCGAAAGGGUGGGGAGCAAACAGGCUUAGAUACCCUGGUAGUCCACCCCGUAAACGUUGGGAACUAGUUGUGGGGUCCAUCCACGGAUUCC
rnacentral:rRNA from 1 species